rnacentral:rRNA from 1 species
GGGGAGGGGGGGGCUAAUACUGCAAGUCGAGCGGACAGAAGGGAGCUUGCUCCCGGAUGUUAGCGGCGGACGGGUGAGUAACACGUGGGUAACCUGCCUGUAAGACUGGGAUAACUCCGGGAAACCGGAGCUAAUACCGGAUAGUUCCUUGAACCGCAUGGUUCAAGGAUGAAAGACGGUUUCGGCUGUCACUUACAGAUGGACCCGCGGCGCAUUAGCUAGUUGGUGGGGUAAUGGCUCACCAAGGCGACGAUGCGUAGCCGACCUGAGAGGGUGAUCGGCCACACUGGGACUGAGACACGGCCCAGACUCCUACGGGAGGCAGCAGUAGGGAAUCUUCCGCAAUGGACGAAAGUCUGACGGAGCAACGCCGCGUGAGUGAUGAAGGUUUUCGGAUCGUAAAGCUCUGUUGUUAGGGAAGAACAAGUGCGAGAGUAACUGCUCGCACCUUGACGGUACCUAACCAGAAAGCCACGGCUAACUACGUGCCAGCAGCCGCGGUAAUACGUAGGUGGCAAGCGUUGUCCGGAAUUAUUGGGCGUAAAGGGCUCGCAGGCGGUUUCUUAAGUCUGAUGUGAAAGCCCCCGGCUCAACCGGGGAGGGUCAUUGGAAACUGGGAAACUUGAGUGCAGAAGAGGAGAGUGGAAUUCCACGUGUAGCGGUGAAAUGCGUAGAGAUGUGGAGGAACACCAGUGGCGAAGGCGACUCUCUGGUCUGUAACUGACGCUGAGGAGCGAAAGCGUGGGGAGCGAACAGGAUUAUAUACCCUGGUAGUCCACGCCGUAAACGAUGAGUGCUACGUGUUAGGGGGUUUCCGCCCCUUAGUGCUGCAGCUAACGCAUUAAGCACUCCGCCUGGCGAGUACGGUCGCACGACUGAAGCUCCCCGGAAUUAAUUGGGAGCCCG